GUUCUCGUAGUUGAAUUACAACGGUGGUUUAACGUGCCACUGGUCAUGGAUGAAUUCCAUGUGGGAAUU
rnacentral:tRNA from 1 species